rnacentral:lncRNA from 1 species
GAAGGGGGCCGCGCGAACGCAGGCCCCCACAGCAACAAAUUAUGAUGUAGGCUCCACCACUUAGGUAGACCUUAGGAUAGCACCCCUCCAAAGUGCAAUGGAGGUCACUUUCCUAGGCCAUGGGCCUUCGUGAUCACCCAUUGACCCCAUCCAGGUAAGUAAUUUGUUUAGCCGCUAAUGAAGUUUAUUUUAUACACUUGCUUCUAAUGACAGCAUCUAUAAAUUAACGAUGUGGGACUAAAACAUGCACACACACUACAUUUCAAAUUCACAUAGCAUGCAUUGAAUUAACACCUAGGAAGCAUUAAAGAUUCUGUCAAGUCUGAAAUCUACCUCAGUUCAAUUGCUUUACUAACAAUUUAUAUUCAUGUUAUUGAAAAUUUGGAUAUAUAUUUUCUGGUUGACAGUAAUUGUUGUGACAUUUAUAUGGAACUCAACCAAGACACAAUACUAUCUCUUCCUUGAGUUAAUUUUGUGCUGGUUUAUUAUAUUUCAGAUUCCUAAGAACCAUACUCUUAUUUUUAUUCACUAACUGAUGUAUAAACCAAUGGCACAAAUAUAAAUAUUUCAAAAUUAUUAGGUUGGAUGUCGUGACCGAGAUUCGAACCCUGACUCCUCCCUUGUGUGUGUGUGAGUUGCCCAUGGCAAUUGUCAUUUCGUCUAUCAAGCAAAAAAAAAAAUGCAUAUAGUUUACUUGUUUUGAUCUGGAUUUAGAGAUGGCAAAUAGGACUCCAUAAAGGAGUAUACAUUUUUCACUGUUGGACCUUGCUAAGGUGAUGCUGCACACUGAAAAGGAAUUGGUAAAACCAUUCAAUUAAAGCAAAGGUGUGAGAAUGAAGCUCUAUUUAUCCAAAUUUUGAACUUAUGAAUAAGGGGACGUGCCAACCUUAAAAUAGAAAAGAAAAUUCACUGUAUUAGUUGCAGAAUGUGUUGAAGGAGAAGAAGAAGAAAGGAAGGUUGGAUUUAUGUACUCUUAAAAGAUUAUAAUUUGGCAAUAAAGGGAUGGCGUCUAAUUCAAAAUGACGAACUUCUUCUGACCAAAUGUUCUAAAAGGCACUAUUGGAUAUAACUCGAGUUAUGCCUGAAGAAGUAUCGCUAAUGUCCGAGAAGAGAUCAGUAUCCAUGCGGGUAUGUGGAGAGUGGGAGGUUGUAAUGGAAUUUGAAUUUGGGAGAUGGCUUGGCUGCCUUUCCGACAUGGCUACAAAGUGUAGUCCCCAAAACCAGGUAAUUGUGUUACUUGUUCUCCUUUGUGUGUUGUAUCAUGUAUGAGACAUUUGUAUUGAAAUAAUUGAUCAUUUGUUUAUGGAGUGUAAUUGGGCGAGAUCAGUCUGGCUCACAUCCCUCUUGAAACAUUCGAAACAAUGUGAAUCAGAUCUCUAGUGAGCAGAUAGUGCAGCAUGACUUAGAUGAGGUUAUUCCGCUGGUGUUGGCGAUUUAUUAUGAAAUCUGGCACGCGCAUGAUAAAAGAAACUUUGACGGGCAGAAUAUGUCUAACGCAGAGGGGCGCGUUGAGCACAAUCCUUGAUUGAGUUAUUUAUCAACUCAAACAAUGCAACCUGUCGAAAUAAGGCGCAAGUUCUUGUAACUCCAAUUUAGAAGGCGCGCUUGGAGUGUCCUCCUGCCGGCUAGUACAAAUUGAAUGGGCCAAAUGAUGUUGGCAGUUGGGUUUGAAUUCACAGUUUUCUCAUAUUAGGCAAGUUGCUUAUCAAGCUACACACUAUUUAUGACGAUAUGUUACUUUCAAUUAUGCAUCCGUUAUCAACGUCAAAAAAAAAAAAAUCAAGAAUUCAUCAUUGCAAUUAUAAGAUAUUGGCAGUCUUAUACCAAGUUGCUAAUUCAACAAGAUUCAAACACAUAUAAAUGUCAAAAUCAUUCACUUAGAAGCUAUCUUGAGGAUGAUGGAAUUGUUCAUCACCCUUUUUUGUUAUUUGUCUAUUAUAAUUUUUUUUUUAUAUUUGUUAUGAAUGGUUAAAGGAGUUGGUGAUUGAGACAAGUUUCUUUCUUUGUUGACGCUUAUUCUAGUUCAAAAACGAGAUUUCAAAUUUAGAAGUAUUUAGAAGUAAAAAAUUACUAAUUUGUUGAAGCUUGAUAUGAGAGAAGAACAAAUCCAGAGAGCAAACUUAGCAAGGAACCAUAGGAGGAGGCAAAAAACUUGAACACGGCAACAUGAAUUUUUUUAUGUUAAUAAGUAGUAAAAUAUAAAAACAGAAAAAUAUAAUAAGUGAAGAGAAAUUUACCAAAAGUAUAGAAGUGUAUUGCUGAUUAAGUGUAUGUAUAGAAGUGUCGGUUUUUGAGACAAUUAGUUGAUUGGUGGCGGUUAUAGGAAAAUAAGGAAAAACAAAUAUGGAUGCUUCAAAACCCUACUCAUUCGUUUUGUCUAUUUUUUGUGAAACGAGCACUUAUCAAGUCAUAAUCUAAAGAUGGGGAUGAUAGCAGGUUUAUAUUUUUGAAAGUUGUCGGUCAUUGUUAGAGUUUCAAAUAAUUUUUUAGUACUAAUCUACCAUAGAAGACCUAUCAAAGUAGUUCAUUGUAGAUCCCACCCUAAAUUAAAAUCCAAAAUAUAAGCUAUGAUUUUAGAAUAUAUAUAUAUUAGUUUCUACGGUUACUUAUAGAGUUAUAGUGAUAUAUCUGACUCAUGCAACAAAGAAGUCCCCAUUAUUUUUGUUAGAAUUAGCCUAUAAGUUAAUAAUUAAACAAAUCAGAUCUAUAAAGAAGCUAUUUGGUGAAAUUAUAAAAAUACAAUAUGAAAAAAAUUAUCAAAUAUUCUUCUACAUAAUUGAAAGAGACAAAAGAAAUUAUAUAAUAAAAACAAAGGAGGAACCUAAAUGUUGAAAUAAUGAAGUAUUAAUUUUCAGUACAUAGUUUUGGUUAACUUGCAGCAGGCAGAUCUCAAAUCCAGAAUUGGUAUUGGAUUGGUACCAUUCAGCUGUUGGGCCAUGGUUUAUUUUACUUUCAUUUGUAAUAAACUAACUAACUCAUUUAAAUGGGUCCCUCAAAAACAAAACAAAAAACUCAUUUAAAUGGGAUAAGUCAACCAUGAAUCUAAGUAAUGCAUAGCCAUUCAUUUCCCAUUUUCUUUUUAUCGCUUUGGAAUAUUAGGAAUGUGUCACACAUACUUUAACUAAGGCAACCACAUCUAGUUCUAGCUUCUGUACAUUUGAUGAAAUUCUAACAUGUAUUACUGAAUUAAUUUUUAAUGAAAUGAUAUAAGUUACUUUCUCUCAAAAAAAAAAGGAAUGUAUCACACUGAAUUUCCUUUGGCCGACAAAGAGGAAACUAAUUUAUGUGAAUCUAGUAAUUGAUUGCUUGUUGCAAUUAGUAUUUUUUUACCUUGGAUCCAAGAAGACUAUAGUUCAAUUGUCAUUAGUUCAUCAAUGAUAAUUAAGGGUAUAAUUCAUAGUUUGUCUUUCUUAAAUGCACUUUUGGACUCCUAAUUUCUUCAAUUAGGCGACUAUUCCUAGGAUAUCUUAAAAUCUCAUUUGUUUGAGAAUCGAUAGCAGGUCAAGGAUAAUCUAUAUGCAACAUCUAUACUGCUCAACCCAACAUGACACCUUUUAUAAAGGAUAAAACUAUGAAGGGCUUACAUCUAAAGCGGAUAAUAUCUCGAACGCAGUGUGACAUACUUUAAGGUGGAACGAAACAUUGGUGACUUCACUAGGGAUCGACACAGAAACUCUCCCUUAGCCUCAAUUGAGGGCAACUGUUCCGGUACACCUUAAAGUCGCACAUUGUUUGAGAAUCGAGGUCAAUGAUAAUUUAUACUGUAACAUCCACAUUUUUCAAUUCAACUAUGUCCCUUUUAUGAAGGACAAAGUCGUGAAUGGCUUACCCCCAAAAUGAACAACACCUCAUAACGAUCUGGUGUACUUGAAGAUGGAACAUAACAUUGGAAUUUUGGCUCCCCAUAAUCAUGUUUCCUCAAUUUUGUGUUGAGCUAUUAAAUAAUUUAUCAAAUAUUUACGAAAUUCACAAAAAUUGUUUAAAAAUAAAAUAAAAAUCCACCGGCAAAACAAACCCAGAUAAAACACAAAUGGAUCAAUGAUCCAAAAAAAUUGCAAUGAACCAAUAAAAAAACAUAAAUAGGAUAUUGCCUCUUGGUUCAUCUUCAACAAACACAGAUCCUCGCCAUUUCCUUUCUACACCGCCCUCCUUCUUCCACACUUAAAUCAUCCAUGAUCAUCUUCCUAUGUUCCACUUUGCAUUUCCUCCACACCACACACACCAUAAUUACAAAUUUCAAUUCUUAAAAAGGCCAAAAAAAAUUAAAACAUUCAAGAAGGAACAUUGUUUUCCUUCUUCUCCCUAUAGUGGUGACGUCUCGUUUGGUUCCUUUCUUACUCGCGGUACUGUAGCAAUCAGCUAUUAAGGUUUUGAUUCAUUAUACUCAUCGGCUUAGGGUAGCUCAACUGAGUUGUGAUAAGGGAUAAGGAGUUGAAGGUAAUGACUUUAAACCGGACAAAUCUAACAGCUAAUUACUAUUAUUAUCCAUCAAAAAUAAAAUCUUAUAUUAUUUUGUGUAUUUCAACACAUGGGCCAAAGUAAAAAAAAAAAAAAAAAAUCAAAAAUCAAAACAUUCAACAAAGUCAAAAAAUCAAACCUAGGUGAGAUGAACUCAUGUGAAAAAGAACAUAUGUGAAGGAAAAAAAUCAAAACUUUCAAGAAAGUCAAAAAUCAAAAGUUGAAGCAAGUGUGAGAGAGAACACGGGAUGAAAUGAGAGACUCUUUUGGGAGUAAAAUAUAAACUUAAUUGCUAUUUUCGUCCCUUAACUAUUUAUUUAGUAUCGCUUUGAUCCCUUAAUUAAAAUUUAUUCCGUUUUGAUAUUUUAAGUUUAUCUCUGUUACAUAUUUUGCUCACUUGUUCAUACACAUCAUAAACACCAAAGACACCUUCAUUUUCGUACACAUCUUUCCCAAUUCUUGCCAUAAAAAAUUGGAAGAUUAGCGUGAAAAUUACCAUUUUCAACCAUGAUUGAUCACUGAACUUUCUGAUUCCUCACUACAUGAAAAUCAAAGCAAUUGGAUCAUAUAUGCUUUAUAAAAGAUGUAGAUUAUUGAAAGACUAAAUAUUGAUGUGAUUACGUGAAUCAAUCAACCCGGUUGCCUAUAUGACAAGUAAAACAAUUAGUUAUAGACUAACUAACUUCCAUAACUUACUUAUAACAUACACAAUAAUUAACUACUAACAACCUCUAAUCAAUAGACAAUAGUUUGAAUUACGCAUAGUAUUUCAAAGGGGGGAGGAAAAGACUUAUAUGGUAUUUUGUUGGUAGAGGAUUUUAAAUGAUUUUUUUUUGUUGAGCCAGACAAUGCGAAGUGGAUUCCGGUUUGAUACUGUGUUUUCUAAUGACUAUGGUUUUAUGUUAGAUGCUCACCUCUUGCUAGAUUUAGAGUUUUUAUUGGUUAUCAAGGUAAAUGGAGAUGGUGAGUUCCAUAAUUUUUUUUUCUAGGUUUGCAUGAACAUAAUGAUGAACACACACAUUCAUCUUUAUUAUUUAAAACUAAUAGUUUGAGGGUUAUUUAAUAAUUUUCAUUAAAACAUAUUUGUUAACUUGCACCAAUUUGCUAACUUAGAUCCACUUUUAUUUUAUAACAAAUAUCUUGAUGGAUAAUUUAGUAAUAUUUUCAGAAAAUUAGAAUACGAUUGUUGGAUGUUUUUUUUUAUCGAAAAAUAUAAUUAAAUAUAUAGUUUGGGAUACUUUGUGUGUGUGUGUAAGCUCGUUUGUUUCAGCUUCUACAUCCUUCAAAAGCAAUUCUGGUAGCUUCAAAAGUGAAAACUAGCAAUUCCAACAUGUUUGGUUCAGCUUCUCAAAAUCAAUUCUCAUCUCCAAAAGUAAUUAUGGUUGAAGCUACAAUUCAUAGCUUUUGAGUUUACUAGAAUCAAUUCUCCAUUAAAUUUAUUUUGGGGGCCGGUUGGUUCUACUUAAGUUUGUCUUAACCUCUCUGUCUGUCUAUGCUCUUUCCUUCUUCAAAGCUCCGCCGAGUAUCAUUUCUAUCAUUAAAUCUAUUUUUAAUACAAAAAUUGGGAGGGAAUGAGGAGAACAGGAAAACUUCCUGGGUUUCUUGGAGCUCUAUUUGUUUACGUAAGGAGUAUGGAGGGUUAGGGGUCAGGCAGUUGAGGGAGUUUAAUAGUGCCUUAUUAGGCAAAUGGUGUUGGCGGAUGUUGGUGGAUAGAGAUGGGUUUUGGUAUAGGGUGUUGGCGACACGAUAUGGUGAGGAGGCAGAGAGGUUGGAGGUUGGGGGCCGGAGUGGUUCUUUGUGGUGGAAGGAUCUAGUGAAGAUUAGGGACGAGUUAGGAGUUGCUGAUGAGGGUUGGUUUGCUGAGAGGGUGUCGAAAAGAGUGGGAGAUGGUUCUAGUACUUUCUUUUGGUAUGAUAGGGUGGGUAGGCGAUGUUCCUUUGCGCAUACGGUUUAGCCAUUUGAUUUAGCGACUAAUAAGAUGUGCAUGGUGACUGGUAUGUGUGCUCUUGGUUGAGAGGUGUGGAGGAGACUGGGGGCAUGGAGAACUGAUAAUCUUGACAGGUGACAGCAGUGGAACCCAGACAUUGUUGGGGGUUAUACUAUAAAUGGUGCUUAUCACAUUCUGAGUGCUCGAUCCGAUCCUCCACAGCAUAUUGACUAAUAUUUUGUUUAAAAAAAAAAAUUAAACUAAUAUGGAGGGGGCCGCGCGAACGCAGGCCCCCACAGCAACAAAUUAUGAUGUAGGCUCCACCACUUGGGUAGACCUUAGAAGAGCACCCCUCCAAAGUGCAAUGGAGGUCACUUUUCUAGGCCAUAGGCCUUCAUGAUCACCCAUUGACCCCAUCCAGGU